rnacentral:lncRNA from 1 species
GUCUAACCAUUAACAUGACAACAUCAAGUGCAUCCAACAAAAUAGAUGUCCAGGCUCAAGUGUGGCUCGUUCAAUCUGAGCAUUGAUUUGAAGGUACAAUAAGAUGGUCAUAUAAUGGAUGAUAAUUUCAAUACAUAAUAGAUACUAGGUGUGUGGUACCUCCAAUACCUAUUUGGAAUAUUGGACUCAUUAUCAUGUACCUUAAUAAGAGGCAAUGAUCUAGU